GGUGCUGUUGCGUAGUGGGUUAAAGCUCUGGCCUUCUGCGCCAGCAUCCCAUAUGGGCGCCGGUUCGAGUCCUGGCUGCUCCA
rnacentral:tRNA from 1 species